ensembl:lincRNA
ACACUCCAUUAAAUUCCAUGCAAUUCCACUUGGGUAAAUUCCAUUCCAUUCCAUUCGAGUCCAUUCCAUUCCAUUCCAUUCAAGUCUAUUCCAUUCCAUUCCAUUCCAAUCCAUUUCAUUCGAGUCCGUUCCCUUCCAUUGCAUUCCAUUCCAUACCAUUCCAUUGCAUUCCAUUCCAUUUGGGUCCCUUCAAUUCUAUUCCAUUGGAGUCCAUUCCAUUCCAUUCCAUUCAAUUCUUGUCCAAUCCAUUCCAUUCGAGUCCAUUCCAUUCCAUUCCAUUCGAGUCAAUUCCAUUGCAUUCCAUUUCUAUCGAGUCAAUCCAUUCCAUUCUACUCCAUUCGAGUCCAUUCCAUUCCAUUCCACUCGAGUCCAUUCCAUUCCAUUCCAUUCCAUUCCAUUCCAUUCCAUUCUUGUCCACUCCAUUCCAUUCGAGUCCAUUCCAUGCCAUUCCAUUCGAGUUCAUUCCUUUGCAUUCCAUUCCAUUUGAGUAUAUUCGAAUCCCUUCCAUUCGAGUCCAUUCAAUUCCACUCCGUUCGAGUCCAUUCCAUUCCAUUCGAGUCCAUUCCAUUCAAUUCCAUUCCAUUCGAGUCCAUUCCACUCCAUUCCAUUCGAGACCAUUCCAUAACAUUCCUUAAUUUGGUACCAUUCCAUUCAAUUCCAUUCCAUUCCUUUCAAAUCCAUUCCAUUGCAAUGUAUUCCAUUACAUUUGAGACCAUUCAAUUCCAUUCCAUUCCAUGCGAGUCCAUUCCAUUUCAUUCCAUUCCAGUCCAUUCCAUUGCAUUCCAUUCCAUUCGAGUCCAUUCCAUUCUACUACAUUUGAGUCCAUUCUUUGCAUUUCAUUACAUUCCAUUUGAUUAGAGUCCAGUCCAUUAAAUUCCAUUCCACUGCUUUCGAGUCCAUUCCAUUCCAUUCGAGUCCAUUCCAUUCCAAUCCAUUCCAUUAGAGUUUAUUCCAUCCCAUCCCAUUCGAGUCCAUUCAGAUCCAUUCCAUUCCAUUUGAGUCCAUUCCAUUCCAAUCCAUUUGAGUGCAUUCCAUUGCAUUCCAUUCCAUUUGAAUCCAUUCCAUUCUAUUACACUCAAGUCCAUUCCUUUAUGUUCCAUUCCAUUCGUGUCCAGUCCAUUCCAUUCGAGUCAAUUCCUUUCCAUUCCUUUCCAUUUGAGUACAUUCAAUUCGAUUCCUUUCCACUUAAGUUCAUUCCAUUCCAUUCUAUUCCUUUCCAUUCCAUUCCAUUGCAUUUGAGUCCAUUCCAUUCCAUUCUAUUCCAUUCGAGUCCAUUCCACUUCAUUCCAUUCCAUUCCAUUCCAUUCGAGUCCAUUCCAUUCCAAUCCAUUCCUUUCGGUUCCAUUCCUUUCAANNNNNNNNNNNNNNNNNNNNUUCCA